UACGUAGGGAGCAAGCGUUAUCCGGAAUCAUUGGGCGUAAAGCGCGCGUAGGCGGCCUCAUAAGUCCGUUGUGAAAGUCAAAGGCUCAACCUUUGAAAGCCGAUGGAUACUGUGAGGCUAGAGUCCGGAAGAGGCGAGUGGAAUUCCUGGUGUAGCGGUGGAAUGCGCAGAUAUCAGGAGGAACACCAAUAGCGAAGGCAGCUCGCUGGGACGGUACUGACGCUAAGGCGCGAAAGCGUGGGGAGCGAACAGG
rnacentral:rRNA from 1 species